rnacentral:rRNA from 1 species
GAUGAACGCUGGCGGCGUGCCUAAUACAUGCAAGUCGAGCGAACAGACGAGGAGCUUGCUCCUCUGACGUUAGCGGCGGACGGGUGAGUAACACGUGGAUAACCUACCUAUAAGACUGGGAUAACUUCGGGAAACCGGAGCUAAUACCGGAUAAUAUAUUGAACCGCAUGGUUCAAUAGUGAAAGACGGUUUUGCUGUCACUUAUAGAUGGAUCCGCGCCGCAUUAGCUAGUUGGUAAGGUAACGGCUUACCAAGGCAACGAUGCGUAGCCGACCUGAGAGGGUGAUCGGCCACACUGGAACUGAGACACGGUCCAGACUCCUACGGGAGGCAGCAGUAGGGAAUCUUCCGCAAUGGGCGAAAGCCUGACGGAGAAACGCCGCGUGAGGGAUGAAGGUCUUCGGAUCGUAAAACUCUGUUAUUAGGGAAGAACAAAUGUGUAAGUAACUAUGCACGUCUUGACGGUACCUAAUCAGAAAGCCACGGCUAACUACGUG